CAAGGAGGGGUGCCUAUUUUGCAAUUGGCUGAGAUUAUACCCAUUGACCUGAUCGGGGUAAUGCCCGCGUAGGGAUUAUUUGGA
rnacentral:ncRNA from 1 species